UUCAUUCAUCAACUUAUUGUCACACCAGCUACCCUGUUUCGGUAUAAACUAUUACCUUGUUUCAAUAUAAGCUAUCUAGCCAUUUUGCAGCUAGUUUGUCACUAGAUAUAUGUAAUCCAUGUUUGAUACCAUGUAAUUAAAUGAAGAGGGAAAAUAAUGGUAUCCAAUGUGAUGUAGGGCAGCAAACAAGCCUUUUGAGAAUUGGUUCAAGGUUUCAAUUGACUAGGACAGCAAGAAGGGUUGUCGGCUAGAAAUUAACUAGCAUGCAGAAAAUAACGCGAAAUAUUUGUUAGCACUGAUGUACUAGUGCUUCCAUAAGAUAAAACUAUCAAAGUUAACUGGAAGCAGCCCAGAAAGAAUCUUUCACUUGACAAUAUGUUACCUCCUCCAAAUUAGCUGUCCAUGCACAUGAAUAACCAGCUUUUGCGCCCAUUUCUCCUUUGUUUGUUCAUCUUCACCUUCAGAUCUGAUUUCGGGUGCUCUUGGAAAGGCUAGGAUCAAGGUAUGUGGGUGUGGCUUAGAUAGGAUGCUAGGUGGAAGGCUUAGUAUUUCAGAUUUAAAGGUAAAUAAUUUGGGUAGUGCAGGGAUUGGAUGAGAAUGGGGUUUGCUACAGUUUCAGCCAGCAAUGUGCUGAGGCGAUGCUUGGAGCAACUUAAGGUAGUGAUCAGGAAGUAGGCUUCAGGGUGGCUGCGGGGUUUCAGGUCAAAUAUGGCAGCAGAAGGAAAAAAUAAAAUGAAGGUUAGAAGAAAAGAGAGAGAGAAAGAGAGAGAGAGAGAGAGAGAGAGAGAGAGAGAGAGAGAGAGAGAGAGAGAGAGAGGUUGAGGGUCAAAUGAUCAGAUGAUGUCCAUCAAUCCUAGCUGCAUCACAUGCUAUCUAACAACAAGGUUGAGGGUCAGACAUUCGGAUGGCUUUCCUUCAUGCAUGAGCUCAAAAUCCGCCAUCUGGAUCUUUAUACAAUGCUUAACAAUGUUAAAUUUUUAGUUGAGGCGCCCCCAAAAUGCUUACAUGACUAUUUACUUUCUGUUAUCUUCCUUCAAUAUAGUUAAACUUCUUGUUGGUGAAAUUUUGUUUUUGGGUCCUGAUACAUAUUUCAAACGUUUUGUUGCUUCUUAAGUGCCACGUGGCAGUCCUAAAUAUACUUGCUGAUUCAUUCGUUGUUUUGGUUGGUUGAAGAUUUAAUUGACGGGGAACGAUGAGACUUUCUUCUUACGGAAAUUAUAUGUAAUUCAUCAACAACAUAAAGCAAAAGAUAUUUUCCAAUUAGGAUCUCUAUUUUGUACAAAAUGUCCUUUUGCAUGUCUUCAUGUUCAUGCAUGGAAUGUCGAACCAUCCUGAACUGGACGGUUCAGGAUGUUCCGAGCUGUCCCGACAGCAAACUGGGAUGAUUCGGUCAAGAAAAACGGCACAUUGGAGGGGGGAGAGGAAAGAGGGAAAGAGAGAGAGAGGAGGAGAAGCAAAGAUGGCACGAUACCAUCAGAGGGCCACGGAGGCCUCCGCGGCUCGGCAUCGCCCGAUAGGGUAUUUAAUCUAGCGAGAAAGAGAGAGGUGGAGCGACCAUACCGGAGGGAGGAGCAACUGGCGGAGGGACUGUUGGAGGGUGCUGGGUGGCCACUGGACGGCGGAAAAUAUGCGGAUGGAGCCGUAGCCGUGGAAUAGGGGUGAUCGCCUCGUUCACUCAUCGAAUUUUUUUAAAAAGAAAGAUGAAUAGUGAAGUCGGCAAAUCCAUUGCCGACUUCACUGUUUGAAAUUUUUUUUUAAGAAUACCUAAGAAACAGUGAAGCUGGUAAUGGGUUUGCUGGCAAAUCCGUUGCUGACUUCAUUGUAAUUGGAAUUUUCAAAAAAAACCUCGUGAAAUAGAGGUGAUCGCCCCUGUUUCACGCUUGCGGCGCCGGAGGCUAUGAUUGUGCCUUUCAGCAGCCUCUUCGGCGGCUUCUCCUCCCUUUUUUUUCCUCCCUCUCUCUAUCUCUCUCUCGACCGAGGAUCAGCCGAUGAAGCGGAGCCUUGGCGGCCCUUCGAGCACACCGGCAGUCUACUUGUGGCCACCGUCGGCAUCUCCUUCGGUCGCACUCUCCCUUUUCCCCCCUUCUCCCUCCCCUUCCCUCCCUCUCUCCCCUUUCUCUAUUUUCCUCCCAGUUUGCUUCUUUUCCUUUGUGUCGGUUCGCAUCGGUCUGGUCCAAUACGGACCCGUACCGACCCAUACCGCCGGCAUGGGUUCUGGUGCUGAGUCCGCGAACAUUGUGUACAUGCUUCAAACCAUAAUCACAAAAUUUGCUGGACUUCUUGGAGAAAAAAAGAACUCUGGAUAAUUCAUGGUUGGUAGCUUGUCUAAACAAUUCGGCGAAUAAUUUGCUGAUUUGAGAGUGCUCUAUGAAUAUAUCAUGAAAUUCAUGAUAUUUACAAAUAAACCCCAAGUCAGCAAAUCUUUUGCUGCCUCAUUUCUAACUUGCACAAAGGAUUUGGGAUUGGUGCUAGCUGUCAACAGAGUCCGCAGCUUGUUGGUAACACAUGGAUGUAGGUGAUGAAGUGCUAACGUGCAGCGCAUGCAUUGGAAAUAGGUAUUUAGGCCAUUUGGGGAUCUUAUUUUAGAUUUUGGUGUACUAAAAAAUAAUCUUUUCCCAACCCAACAAGGGAAACUUAAUGGUUAGGUAACAAAUAGAUUUUUUCUCUCUCAUGUUCUAUGUUGUAUCCUUCUCCUAAUCUUUUUCUUCUACUCACCCUCUCAUCACCACGCCUCAUGUCAUUUGCUCAUCUCAUGAAUAUUUUAUUUUUUUUAUUUUUAUUUCUUGUUUUUAAAGUACUCCUAAUUUUAAUUGAUUUUCCCUAAUUUAAACUUCACCUUGCCGAAUUAUUUUUGAAUGCCGGACUUAUGACUAUACUUAAAAUAAAAGAAGUUUAAUAUCUUUUUUGAAGGAUUUAUUUCAUAUGCCUACAGGGGGUAUGUAGUGUUAUGGUCUUGUGGACCCUUGCUAUUGAUUCUUUAACCACCUAAUGUUUGUACGUACUCUUUUUAUUUCUUAACCAAACGGCUAACCUCUAACAUCAACCUCUUCCAGUCUUUAACAUGUCUUGAAUUUUUUUAAGUGCUCCUUCAAAAAAUUGUCAUCCAUAGUUUGAGACCAAGGCAGGCUGAACUGGUACCAUGUCUUGUAUCGAUCAGCUGCUAGUUUAGUACUGUAGCAAUUCAAUACUAUACUGAGUGUUGGUAAGCCCUAGCAUACCGGUUCCAAACUGGCAUUUCUUUUUGUUUUUUCAAUUUUUUUUGAUAUAUAAUGAUGUUUAUGAACUUUUUUAACAUUUAAUGAUGUUUUUUGAAAAUUCUAAGUGAUUUAAACAUUAAUUUGAUGUUUUUUUGAGGUGUUUUGAUGUUCUUCAGUACAUUUUUCUUUUUUUUGCAUGUUUUUUGUUUAUAAAAUGACUAUAAUUUCAAUGAUAAAUAUGAUUAAAGUACAUAAAUCAUGAUAUUCAUAAAGAAAAUCAAUAAAAUACAGAAAGUUAAUUUAAAUACAUACCAAUAUUUAAAAUCUCAUAGUGGUAAUGUCUCAUAUAGAUGUUGGGGUCAUCUUCGUAUGUAGAGGGUUCAACUGAAUUCUCCAUUCACAUGGCCCUUCGGUUUGGUAAGCUCAUUGGGCCACCAUAAGGUACGAACCUAGAUAGUACCUAUAUGUGUUGUGGUUGAUGGUGUCGCUCUACAAGGAGUCAUUCGUCUGAUGCCGUAGCUGUGGAGCAACCCAUUUUAACAUGCUGGCAGCAAAUCUAAUAUGUAAGGUGCUUCAGGUCGCAUAGGAUAAUAGAAACUGGAGGAUGAUAUGUUUGAAGCACUAUAUCCAUAAGGGAAGUAGCUAGCUCCAUAUACGUAGGAUCCCAUACAGGAUUCUAAAUAUAAUACAUCGAGGGAUCCUACUCCACAUGCUAUAUCAUUUGUAGCAACUUAAUAUCCACCACAACUCAAGGAUCUCGUCUUUUAUAUGCAACCGUAUCCUCGCAAUCUUUCAGUUGUGCACCAUAGUUUUGAUCCUGCAUAGCAUGAGUGAAUUGAGACACUCCGGUGAAUCGAAGACCAUCUUAGGGCUGUGAUGUGGUGGUCUGACAUCUUCCUAGCCACCAGAUGCAUCAUCGCUACUCCCAUAUGACUGUGAAGACUUCUUGCUGUCUGAAUUUGACUCUUCCGCUCCCAAUAGGGUCUUGCUUUUGCCUUUCUUCCCAGCUAUUUUCUUGCCUCGCUCUGUCUGGCUUUGUUGCGAGGCAUAACUGACUAGACUGAGUAGCAGGCAGCCUCGUUUGAGCAUCUCUCAGUCAAUGCUGGGAGGAUGUCUUGGAGAUUGUUGAGGUAUUUCUGUAUGAGAAAGUUUCUUUGUUUGCUGUGGAUUAGAGUGAAUAUCGAUCAGUUGCACUCGGCCAUUGGAGGACACUAUCUUUGAGAGGAUCUAGACAGCAAGCCACCAAAGGAUCUGAGCUGAACCCCCGAAAUGAAACCACCACUUGGUUGCAAGGUAUUGAACAAUAUUAUAUAUAAGAUAGUGGUAAUUGUACAAUGUUAACCUGUCAAGUAAUAACUAUUGUUCAUGUGUAAUAUAUCUGCAUUCAUCAUGAUAUUGCCCUUGUUAAGCAUAGAUUCUCCUUCAUCAAAGCUGUAGAACCCUUCCUAAAUAGUUUUGUUUGUGCAAAAAAAGAUGUGGCGCACGAUGUUAUAGUAUGUUCAAUAAAUUAUUAAUGAUGGAAGAUCCCACCUAAAUUAACCUCUUUGAGACACUGCACCCCGACAUCUGGAUCAGGCUCCAUCUUGUAUAUCACUUUGCAUAGGGCGGACUGAAGUUCGCCAUCCAUUGCAAUACUAAGGAUGCUAUAAUGGAACUUUGGGUUUAAGUAAUGAGCCAUUAAUAUAAUUUUCAAUUGUUUUAGUAUGACAUGACCAACUAGAAGACUAGAGAAUGGGUAACUAUUUUAAUGUAUAUUCUUACCUAUGAGAUCCACCUGCCUACCCAUUUGGUAGUAUCUCGGCCUACUUCCAUAACUAUUGGCUUGUUAUCACACUCUUUAUGUGGCUCCCUUUAGUGCUGGCUCUUACAUAUCCGCUCUCCUGCAAUUCUGACAAGCAUCUAGUGCAGACUUGCCUUCCUAUCAAAAAGGCUAUCAAGUGCAAUAUUAUUAGUGGCAAACCAUGGAGUAUUUAUUCUAUGGCGAACUUUUGAGCCAUGACUGUUAUGUGAUUGUAGAUAUAUCUAGUGAUAAAUUGGGCUGUAUCUACCAAGGUUGUAAGUCCUAACGGGAUGGGGGCAUCCUGGCUGUUUUAUCUCGUUCCUAUGAAAAAAUAGGAUUGGGAUGGGGUUGGGAUGCCGAAACCUAAGCAGAGAGAGAGAAAAAGAAAGAGGAAAGAAAGAAAGUGAGGAAAGAUAGGAAAAGGAAAAAGAAAAAGGAAAGGAAACAAAGAAAAAGAAAAUAAAGGAAAAAUGGAAGAAGAAGAGAAAGGAGGGAAAGAGGAAGAAAAGAAAAAUAAAGAAGAAGAAAAGGAUAAAAGAAAUAAAGAAAGGGAUAAGACAAAAAAAAGGAAAGAAAGGAAGGUAGAAGAAAUGGGAAGAAAAGGAGAUAAAGAAUAAAGAAAGGAAAGAAGGGGAGAGAGAUAGAGGAUAUCUACAGAGAGAUAGAGGAUACCUAUUGGGAUGUAUAAUCGAGAUUGCCGUCGAGACGGGGCGGGACAGCGAAGCAUCCCGUUUCAUGGAGAAAUCAGGAUGCCCCCAUCCCAUGGGAUUUAAAAACUUGGUCUUUAUGACCUGCCUGAUCCUAUGAAUCUUGUCAAUAUCUAUUGGUAUGAGAUCGAUGCAAUGUGUAAUACAUGGUGUCCAGAAAAUAUGGGCCUGCCUAUCCAUUAAUAGCUCAUCGACAACCUUAUACCAUGGCCCAAUAUCAAUGACCACCUUGCAUGGUGUUCUACUCUCAUACAUGAUCUAUCAUGUUGUCCAUUGGUUUUAGAAUGUACUAUGCAUCGUGCACAUUAUUUGAAGCAUCAAUUGACUGGUGGAGGAAGGUCUUUACAUCAUAAUAAGUUAGAAAGUUGAUGAUGCUUCGUCUACUGGAUGCAUCCACCUAUCACACAUCACCAUCAAUCCAUUGGUGCCCAAGUUGCUUUGAUAUGAUGUUACCCAGCUCUGGAACUCCAUAUUGUUGUUGUUAGUGAGCUCACUAUAAAUAUCCUUUGGUCUUGGAGGAUCCACAUCCUGUCUUGCUCUUUGUUCGAGAUGAAAGGAGGGAAAGAAGAGAAAGGAGGGAAAGAGGAAGAAAAGAAAAAUAAAGAAGAAAAGAAAAAAAGAAAUAAAGAAAGGGAUAAGAGGAAAAAAGUAGAAGAAAUGGGAAGAAAAGGAGAUAAAGAAUAAAGGAAAGAAGGGGAGAGAGAUAGAGGAUAUCUACAGAGAGAGAGAGGAUAUCUAUCGGGAUGCAUAAUCGAGAUUGCCGUCGAGAUGGGGCGGGACAGCGGAGCAUCCUGUUUUAUGAAAAUAUCGGGAUGCCCCCAUCCUACGGGAUUGAAAACCUUGAUCUCUAUGACCUGUCUGAUCCUACGAAUCUUGCCGAUAUUCAUUGGUAUGAGAUCGAUGCAAUGUGCAAUACAUGGUGUCCAGAAAAUGUCGGCCUGCCUAUCCAUUAACAACUCAUCGACAACCUUGUACUAUGGCCAAAUGACCACCUUGCAUGAUGUUCUGCUCCCAUACAUGAUCUAUCAUGUUGUCCAUUGGUUUUAGAAUGUACUAUACAUCGCGCACAUUAUUUGAAGCAUCAAUUGACUGGUGGAAGGUCUUCACAUCAUAAUAAGUUAGAAAGUUGAUGAUGCAUCCACCUAUCACACAUCACUAUCAAUCCAUUGGUGCUCAAGUUGCUUUGAUAUGAUGCUACCCAGCUUUGGAACUCCAUAUUGUUGUUGUUAGUGAGCUCACUAUAAAUAUCCUUUGGUCCUUUAGGAUCCACAUCCUGUCUUGCUCUUUGUUCGAGAUGAUGCAGAUUGGUAGUAUGUGUUGCCUUUCGUAUUCGUUGGAAUGUGGUUGAAGUGAAAUCGGGAUGCACUAGCUCUGGACAUUUCUUUCUUUUUAUUCUUCCUAUCAUGAUAUCAAUCCUUUGCUGCUUUGCAUCUCUGAUGGGGAAGGCAUGAGGAUCAAGGUAGUGGCCCUUAGUGGUGUCUUUGGAGGACUUCUUGCAGUCUCUGUUGCUGAAUUCUCCUAGCGUAGAUGCUAUACCACUUCCAUCUUUGCUUAUAGCCUUCCUAAGAGAGCUAGGCUCUCCUGAACUCUAGUGUUGCCCUGCUAGUCCUAGAACUUGAGCCUGACUCGUAUUGUGAGGGCCUAAAUUGAGCCUUAUGCUUGGCCACCUCCUACUACCAUCAGUCAUCCAAGCUUGUCUGGAGGGCAGCCUUGAUUUAUGCCUCAUCAUCUAGAAUAGAGCCCUCUUCUGAUAUCUUGGAGUGGUAAGAAAGUAGCUCUACUACUUGACGAUCUACAUCUGUGUUCUUCUGGGCAGUCCUCUUUUUUGCUGCUUUGAAAUCAGUGAAGUGAUUUUUCAUUGGUUGCUGGACCUCCUAGGGGCAUUUCCAAUGCAUCGAUACAUCGACGUAACCACUAGCAAGACCCGGCUUCAUCUUGGUUAUCCCACCCCCUUUAAACUCGAUCUAUUCGCACUUUUGGUGUCGACCCAAGAACAUGACUCCGUGAUUUUAGCCAAUGUCGCACUCCAGCUUCCUUUUGGAUGGAUCCAUUCUUGCAAGGAAAUUAAACACAUGUCAAACAUUUUUGCAUUGACUAAUAUUUAGAUAAUCAGCUACGUGUUGUAUCAAAUUCUUAUGAUUUUGUUACUUAAUUAACUAAUUUAAUUAUUUUAUUUUAAUUUAGAUAAUUGCGGCAUCACAAUAGGGAUGCUGCAUUUAUUAUUAUCUUUGGCAUUAUUUAUUUUUUAGAAAAUAAUGAAAUUUCAAUGUGUUGUGAAAUAUAUGUUUCUACUUUGGGAAAUACUUCUGAAUUAUCUAUACGUAGUAAUUUUUCAUAUUUGGUAUUACUUUAUUUUUUAAGAAAUAAUUGUCAAGUGUAAAUAAUUCAAAAAAUUAUUUUGAGCUUAGAUCUAUAUAACAACUCACUCUGGAUGCUACAUAUAUAUUUUUUAGAUUAUAGUGUAAGGAUCCAAUCUUUUGAUCAUCUUGAACAAAUUUUUUCUUGCAUAAUUUUAAAGCAGACCAAAAAGUAAAAAAAUAAAAAAUGUGUUGUGAGGAAUAUGUUUUCUACUUUAAGAAAUAUUUCUAAACUACCUAUAUGUCGUACUAAUUUUUUAUUUUUUAUUAAUUUUUUAUUUUAUAAAAUAAUUGUUAGGAUAAAUUACAGGAACACCCCCUUAACUUUAACUCAAUUUUAUUUACACCCUUAUAUUUUAAAAAAUAUCAAACUGAUCUUUUUAGUUAGCGAUAUGUUUCAAUGUGAUCCAGCUGUUCAUUUUAUCAAUAAAUGGUGUUAGAUUUUUUUCGUUGAACGAAAAUAUCCCUUGUUCAUGGAUGGCAAGGAAUGCCGUACCGGGCCGAACCGCCCGAUACGGAGCGUGCUGAAUCGUUCCGAUGGGGAACCGAGACGGUUCCGGCAUGCAAAACGGUACACGUCAGUGUCGGAGAAAGGAGAAAAAGAGGAAAAGAGAGGAAGAGAAAAAGAGGAAGAAAAAGAGGGAGGGGGUCCGUCGGAGUGCCGCCGGCGGGCCACCAGCUUCAUUAUGAAAAAUAUUUUUUUAAAAAAAAAUGAAAAACAUGGGCGGAUCGCUCCUGUUCCACGCGUGGAGCCGCGGGAGGCGUUUACGCCGCCCGAUGGCCACGGCGGCCCCUCCGGCGAACCUCCCUCUUUUUUUUCCUUCCUCUCUCUAUUUCUCUCUCUUUCUUCACCGGUUCGGCUUUGUUUUUCUUCAUCGUUUUGUCUCGGUUUGGAACGGAAUGGAGGCAUGCCGGACCGUACCGUCGGUCGGUCGGUAAGGAAAGUAGAUGGAUGGGCUUGGAGGAGAAAGAAGAUAAGAAAAAGUGGAUGAAGAGGAAGGGAAGGAGGAGAGAAUGGUCGCGGGUAAGGAAUGGAUUAGAGGACAAGAAGGAGAAGAGGGUGGAGAGGAAGAAGAGGGGAAAGAAUGGGUUACCGAUGGGAAGAGCUGGAGGUGGAAGGGGCCGCCGUGAAGAGGAUGACUUAUGGGCGGGUUAGAGGAAAAGAAGGAUGGGGAGGUGAAAUGGAAAGGAGGAAGGAAAGGAGGUUGAGGAAGCUAUCA